GCGAGGGUGGCAGAAUGGCUAUGCAGUCGGCUGCAGACCGACGGAUGUGGGUUCGAAUCCCACCCCUCGCU
rnacentral:tRNA from 1 species